rnacentral:misc_RNA from 1 species
CAACCCUCAAGCACGGCUUGUGUGAUGGGCGCCGUCCUCUAGGGGACGCACCCGAAAGGCAAUGGCGGCGUCGCGGUUAUCCGAUCGGCCAAAGUGUAUGGGGCUAUGUCACGCACUCUGAGGCCCGGACCGGCGCCAGUCCGAAUUUUCAAUUUAUCAA